rnacentral:snRNA from 1 species
AGGUAUGAGGACAAUUUGGCCCAGAACACGCCUCCUAGUGGGUCACUAAGGUGAGUGUGGCUGAUCCUGCUGGCUAGGCAAGCGUCGCCUUCCCUUCCUAUUUCAGCAUUCUGGGUGCUUCCUGCUUCCUGCUCUAGGUGGCCAACAUCCUGGAGAGAAAUAAGACCGUUCUUCAGCCAAGGGCAUGCGAGUAAGUACACUCCAGACUCUCAGAAGCAGCCUCAAGAGGAGCUUCCGGAAAGAGAGAGAAGCCCACGGAGGGGCUGUGUUGGAACCUCCACCCGUCAGCCCCC